rnacentral:lncRNA from 1 species
CUCACAGACAAAGGAGAGUCUGAUGUAUCCACCCAUCUAGUGUAAGACAGAGAUAGCAAAGGCGGAACAAAUGGAGUCCAUGCCCCGAGGCUGUGCCCUCAAGCUGGCCUAGGGUCAGAGAAGGGAGGAGAUGGUAGCAGCAGAACCACAGCACACCACUGAGCACUGGAAAGAGCAAGAGCUGAAAUCUUAGGUUAUUGGAUAUGCCUAGAGUCAGAAAAGCCUUGGGAAAUUUUUGGUGAUCGAUUUUUCCUGUGAAGGGGGAAGCUGCUGAUGGAGACUUGUAUCUGCAGUACUUCAGGUUCCCAGCUGGCUCCCCAUCCCCACCCUAUAACAUGACCGGCGUACAGAAAUUAAUUGGCCGACUGUUACCACCACUAGUCUGUCCCUGGCUAGACUAGACAGAUGGGUGUGCCCCUGGGCUCAGUGGUAGCCUACCCGGGGUGAUGGUGGGGUUGCCAGCUGUAGUCCAGCUGUUCUGGGGCCUGUGUUUGUGCACCUGUGGUGCUGUAUCCUGCCCCACAGAGCUGGCUGUCCAGUGGAGAAUACAAAGUGACAUCUGGUGCUCCCUCAGAAAGAAUGUGGCCCCAGAGGCAUGCCAGUGGCUUUAGACUCUCUGGGAGGACAUGUUUGAGAGCAACAGCCCCUUCCCCAUCUUUUCCUUUCUUCUCAGCAGUUAUAAAUCUCUCUGCCUGCAGUAAGUAGAGUGAGUGGCUGGUGAGGAGGUUUGUUGAUGACACUGACAAUAUCUGGUGACUCCCUCCAGAUGUGCACUCAGCAGUGAGCUGGGCAGAGGCGUGGGAAGGACGUUGGCUGGGAGCAGACGGCCUCUGCAAAUGAAUCUCUAGUUUCCUGCAACCUGGGAGUGUCCCCAUGAGUUUUACUUUCCUACUUUAUGAAGUGAACCUGCUUUCUUUGGGAUUUCAUGUACUCCUAAUGCUUUUUCUCUCCAGGUAUUUCUUUCCUGCUACAUAUUAGGACUCCCAAGGCAAGAGUGCACCUUUAUUUAGACCUGGGAGUAAAGGGAAAGAGUUGCCUGUCUUUCGUGUGUUUUCAGCUUUGGCUCUGUGGGAUCAGUUAUGCCUCAUUCCUGAAAAGGGCCUUUUUAUCCCCCCAGAAUGCUUUUGCUUUGCCAAUACCACCUUCCUCAGCCUGCCUUUUGGAAAGGUUGAGAAGCUAAAAAGUCAGGUAAGAGAAGGCAGAGAUGGACUUCAGAACCUGAUUUUUAAAUUUUAAGGCAAGGCUGGCUGCCACUGGUGAGAGUGAUGCAGCAGCCUAGCGUGUUCCCAGCAGAGGUCUAGUCUUUGCCCUAAGAAGUCACCGCGCUUAUGAGGUUGCUAUCACAGUGCAUGUGGUAGGUUAGAUUUGAGAAAUGGUUAGGAUUGUUCUGUUGGAUAAGUGCAGACACCUGCCCAGGGAAGCAGCUCUUUUUUUGUAAGAGUUUUCUUGGUUACUGAAAUCAAAUGGGGGACCAGUUUGUUAUAGGAGACAUCUGUGGCCAGCAAAUCUGAACAGCUUCCUAGAGGGAAAGUACCUCUUUUAAACUAAGUUAUUAUAGACAGUGAAUGAAUCCUACCCUUAAAAGAGAUGACGGCAGGGUAAGUGCAAAGUAAAACCUCCUUGCUCUAGUCUCUUGGGAGAGUAUUGUAAUGAAAGCAGCGUUUACUUCGUUGUUGUUGCAUUGGGGUGAAAAAUCUGAGAUGCUGGAAUGAUGGCAAUGUUUGCCUUCUCUCCUUCCCUUCCUGACAGCCAGUGUGGGCCAGGCUCCACUCUCCAUCUUCACACCCUGCCCUUGCUCCAGUAUUUCCAUUCUGUUUUUCUCCUCUGUCUCUUUCUGUCUUUCUCUCAAACUCCAUCCUGCUUCCACCCCUGCCCGCUUUUCUUCUCCUUUCCUGGAAGUAAUCAUUAAACAAAAGAAAAAGUUGAAUGUUCUUUGGUGAGUUUCCUUCUUCUCUGCCUUUUCCUUCUUUAGCCAGUUCCCCUCAACCCCUGUGCACUCCAUAGGAAGGACAAACUUACCUGUCUGCUUCCUUCCCAUGUGCUUCUCCCCAAAUUUUCAUAUAGAUAUAUACGUACACUCCUUUUGGAAUAAACGAAGAGGUACAUUAUAUUUGACACAAACUUGGGAGUGUUAAGAGGUCAUAAGUGUUUACCUAUCAGAUAACCAUCUGUGGCUCUGUGUUGGAUUUUUUUUAUACCAUUAGGAAAAUGGGAAUUUUUUUAUAGGCCUGCCAUACUUCUACUUUGCCAAAUAGCACUUUAUUAUCAAGAUACACCCAUGGCUCAUUUCAGACUCACUGAACUUUUUUUAUAUGAAUGCACAGUCGUCAUAUUUUGGGCAGUCUGUGAGUUCUUGGUAACUCAUCCCCUUACUACAAAAGCACUAAGUGAACAAUACAAAAGUAUAAAAGCACAAAUUUGAACUUACAUAGUUUAGUUUAAGUAUGUUUCACUAGAAAAUCAAAUAUUUAGAUUUCUCACAUUGAAAAUGCUUAGGAUUGAGGUUUAGCUGCUUCCUUUAAAAAAAAAAAAAAAAAAAAAGCCCCAUGUCUUUUUUCUUUACCUACUGGAGUAUUCUCAGACCAUUUCCUACAUGAAAACACCCAC